rnacentral:rRNA from 1 species
GACGAACCGUGCGAACGUUACUCGGAAUUACUGGGCGUAAAGCGUGCGUAGGUGGUGAGUUAAGUCUGUCGUGAAAGCCCCGGGCUCAACCUGGGAAUGGCAAUGGAUACUGGCAAGCUAGAGUGCGGUAGAGGGUAGUGGAAUUCCCGGUGUAGCGGUGAAAUGCGUAGAGAUCGGGAGGAACACCAGUGGCGAAGGCGGCUACCUGGACCAGCACUGACACUGAGGCACGAAAGCGUGGGGAGCAAACAGG